UACCCCUAUCUCGUCCGAUCUCGGAAGCCAAGCAAGGUCGGGCCUGCUCAGUACCUGGAUGGGAGACUGCCUGGGAAUCCCAGGUGCUGCAAGCU
rnacentral:rRNA from 1 species